rnacentral:rRNA from 1 species
GACGAACGCUGGCGGCGUGCUUAACACAUGCAAGUCGAACGGAAAGGCCCGCUUGCGGGUACUCGAGUGGCGAACGGGUGAGUAACACGCGGGUAACCUGCCCCCUGCUUCGGGAUAACUCCGUGAAACCGGUGCUAAUACCGCAUAUUCAGCUUGCAUCGCAUGGUGUGGGUUGGAAAGUUUUUUCGGAUGGGGAUGGGCCCGCGGCCUAUCAGCUUGGUGGGGGGGUCUUGGCCUACCAAGGCUUCGACGGGUGGCCGGCCUGAGAGGGCGGAGGGCCACACUGGGACUGAGACACGGCCCAGACUCCUACGGGAGGCAGCAGUGGGGAAUAGUGCGCAAUGGGCGCAAGCCUGACGCAGCGACGCCGCGUGAGGGAUGACGGCCUUCGGGUUGUAACCCUCUUUCAGCAGGGACGAAUGUAGACGGUACCUGUAGAAGAAGCACCGGCCAACUACGUGCCAGCAGCCGCGGUAAAAC